AAUUAGUGCUAUUGAAAAAGCACAGCUUAAGUCACUGGAGUUAAUUCAAGGUGAACCUCUGAACAAAGAUAAGAUAGAAGAACUUAAAAAGAACAGAGAAGAGCAAGUCCAGAAGAAGAAGAAAAUAUUGAAAGAACUGCAGAAAGUGGAAAGGCAGUUGCAGAUGAAAACACAGCAGCAAUUUACCAAAGAAUACUUGGAAACCAAAGGUCAGAAAGACACAGCGUCUCUACACCAACAGUGCUCUCAUAGAGGAGUCUUCCCAGAAGGGGAAGGAGAUGGUAGUCUCCCAGAGGAUCACUUUUCAGAGUUACCUCAGGUUGACACAAUCUUAUUUAAAGAUAAUGAUGUUGAUGAUGAGCAACAGUCUCCACCAUCGGCAGAACAGAUUGAUUUUGUCCCAGUCCAGCCUUUAUCAUCUCCACAGUGUAACUUUUCCAGUGACUUAGGUUCUAAUGGGACAAAUUCUCUUGAACUUCAGAAAGUAUCAGGUAAUCAGCAGAUUGUAGGACAGCCUCAGAUUGCUAUUACUGGACAUGAUCAGGGGCUGUUAGUUCAAGAACCAGAUGGACUAAUGGUUGCAACUCCAGCUCAGACGCUUACCGACACUCUUGAUGACCUGAUAGCAGCAGUGGGAAAACAGUGCAAUUAAUCAUUUACCUUCCUAAAGAUGGCUGGUGAAUGUAUCACCUCCAUGAGAGCCCAAUUCAGAAAUGCAGCCAGAAUGGCUGUUGACAGUGGAUGAAGACCAAGAACUAAGAUGUAGCUGGAGUGAUAUUCAA
rnacentral:sRNA from 1 species